UACGAAGGGGGCUAGCGUUGCUCGGAAUUACUGGGCGUAAAGGGAGCGUAGGCGGACUGUUAAGUUAGAGGUGAAAGCCCAGGGCUCAACCUUGGAAUUGCCUUUGAUACUGGCAGUCUUGAGUACGGAAGAGGUAUGUGGAACUCCGAGUGUAGAGGUGAAAUUCGUAGAUAUUCGGAAGAACACCAGUGGCGAAGGCGACAUACUGGUCCGUUACUGACGCUGAGGCUCGAAAGCGUGGGGAGCAAACGGG
rnacentral:rRNA from 1 species